UACGACGAAAAUUAUUCACUUGUUAUCACACGUUUACAUCGUGCUAAGCGAUUAAAUCCGAUGAUGCAAUCCUUUCUGUUGCACUAAAUGCACAAAAUAUUAUUUGUCUAUGUUGUGAAUCUAUAAGAUGCCGCUUUUGAGUUGAGUGUGCAGUGUUUAAAUAAGAUUAUAAUAAUAAUAGCCGCUUUAGGCCAUAACUUGUGUCGAGGCUGUCAAAUUAUAUAUUAUAAUUUUCACAUAACUCUACAACAGUACAUAUAUGGAAGUGUUAUUGGUGGCCGGGCAGUCUUUCCAGAUUCACCAGGGCAUGUGGACGAGCACGGGCUCAGCCAGGAGCGGUGGGACUUGCUAACAGCUGGAGCUACAUUGAGCACCUGGCUAGCUUCACGAAUGCAUCUACUACCGGAUCGGAAUCGCGACCUGCUGAGAAGAUCUGGUGCGAAACCUCCACAGGCCGAGUUCGACGAGUACGGUUACAGGGGUCCCUACUCCUAGUGUUAGAGCUGAAAGCGUCUAGUGCUGAGAUUAAUUGAUCUGGUGGAUCCGUAAGGACUCAAACUUUAUCUGCAUCGCGUUGCCAAAAAAUUUACGGGCUCUGACGCUCCCACGUGGUUCCAAUAUUAGGGUACAAAUGGAAACUAUUUAUCUAUCUAGAAUCUAGAAUUUAGUAUCUAGAAUCUAGCCGUUUAUGCCGGAAAUGAAUAAUUGAUGGCGGGUAGAGACGAAAGCACCAGACCGUGCGGAAGUAUGCCCAUGCGAUGGCUGCCCAUGCGACCAAGUCAAGUCGCCAGUUGGCGGUUGUUCGCAUGAGUGUACCAGGCUCACCACAAACCGGGAGAAGUGGCGAUUGGUCGUGAGGCACAUAACAUCUACCCACAGUAAUGAUACUGAAUGACGACCACGACCGCUCUGACAAGAUUGAUACGACGAAGAAAGAGAAGUAGCCCAGAGUCUUGGAGGUUAAAAAACACCGCUUUUUUUUUUUUGUUGC